AAACACAGAGCCCAAAGGUACGUUUAAUAGAUUUAAUUCGAUAUGACAGGGAGAGAGAGAGAGAGGGAAAUCAAGACUGAGAUAAGAAUCUGAUUACCUUCUACAUAUGUUGUUAAGUAACACAGGUAGUAUAAUUGAUUUGGGAGUAGAAGAAGACGCUCUACGCUGAGGGUAUGAAUGGAAUGUUGUCACUCCGGUCACAGUACUGCUUCAAAAAUCAAACUAAUACAAAGAGUAGCCGAAACCUCGUUCGUGUGCAGAACAGAAGUGUUCAUUAUUUUAUGAAAAGUUGAAAACAAGUAGGGGCAAUAUUUGUGAAUCUGUGAUAGGAGUUGUGGCCAAGCUGGAGAGCGGAGAUGAUGAGCAAGAAGCAAACAGCCCAAGGCAACGCUCAUUAUCUAGAAGGUAGAUGAUAACGUUCUGUGGUAAGUAGCAUCAACUGGCAGCAGAAGUUUUCCAACUCUGAAUUUUAUUUUUAACUUUGAUUUGCCUCUUACAAUGCUUUGGAUUUUACUUCAACUUAGAUAUGGUACUUGUCCAUUUCUUCGGUUCACUUUUCUUCCUGGGAACUGGCUUACUCGUUAAGAUCUAUUACUGGUGUAAUGCGCUCGUUUCUAGGUUUAAUUAUACGAGAAGUUUCACAUAUCAUGCUUACUUCGAACUUGUAGGUUGUUGAUUUUACGUGCAGGUAAUAAGGAUAGAAAGAGUGGUAUUUUCUAGGUAUGCAGUAUGCACUUUCAUCUUUAUAUUCUUGAAUCUUUUGUGGAUGAAAAUUUGAUAGCCCUUUCAUCUUUGAGUCUUAUAGCUGAUGAGAAUCGAAAGCAAAUCUUAUUUUGGAAGGAGCCUUGAUCCUGGCCAUGUGCAGUGUUUUCCAUGUUUGCCUUUAUUGAAUUUACACUGAAAGUUUGUGAAGAAUUGAUUCUCUUACAUGCUUGUUUCUUUCAUAUCUUUGUUACAUGUGCACCACCUCUUUUUUAUAUUUAGUUAAAUAGUUUAUUUAGUUUUUAAGUGUUUGAACCUUUGUCUGUUGCUUCAUCAGCAACCAUCCAUUUUCUGAACUGCAUAAAUAGUCCGAAAAUGAAUAUGUAUGUAUAGUCUCAAAGAAUUUUUAUACUAUGCAAAUUUAGUAUCCUAAA